CGGACGGGUGAGUAAUGCCUAGGAAUCUGCCUGGUAGUGGGGGAUAACGUUCGGAAACGGACGCUAAUACCGCAUACGUCCUACGGGAGAAAGCAGGGGACCUUCGGGCCUUGCGCUAUCAGAUGAGCCUAGGUCGGAUUAGCUAGUUGGUGAGGUAAUGGCUCACCAAGGCGACGAUCCGUAACUGGUCUGAGAGGAUGAUCAGUCACACUGGAACUGAGACACGGUCCAGACUCCUACGGGAGGCAGCAGUGGGGAAUAUUGGACAAUGGGCGAAAGCCUGAUCCAGCCAUGCCGCGUGUGUGAAGAAGGUCUUCGGAUUGUAAAGCACUUUAAGUUGGGAGGAAGGGCAUUAACCUAAUACGUUAGUGUUUUGACGUUACCGACAGAAUAAGCACCGGCUAACUCUGUGCCAGCAGCCGCGGUAAUACAGAGGGUGCAAGCGUUAAUCGGAAUUACUGGGCGUAAAGCGCGCGUAGGUGGUUUGUUAAGUUGGAUGUGAAAUCCCCGGGCUCAACCUGGGAACUGCAUUCAAAACUGACUGACUAGAGUAUGGUAGAGGGUGGUGGAAUUUCCUGUGUAGCGGUGAAAUGCGUAGAUAUAGGAAGGAACACCAGUGGCGAAGGCGACCACCUGGACUAAUACUGACACUGAGGUGCGAAAGCGUGGGGAGCAAACAGGAUUAGAUACCCUGGUAGUCCACGCCGUAAACGAUGUCAACUAGCCGUU
rnacentral:rRNA from 1 species